UGCAGAAACGCAUCAACAAUUUGGGCUUUGGUCUUUUAAACAAAUAUUCUUCUUAUUGUGCAAACUGACGACUAUCACCACACUCCGCUUCCAAAUCGUUUCAAUGGAUUUUUUCGACUAAAACUAGAGAUGCAAGGCUGGGUAAAUCACUCGCCACUCGCGGCGAUACAUCGAUAUAUCGAAUAGUUCGAUAUGCCAAAGCUUAGUGCUGAGCUUAAUACUUAUCGUGAGGUGUUGGCGCCAGUGCUGAAUCCGCUAUCGAUAACAAUUCAAGAGCAAGGUCACCCACUAUCGCAACUAUCAAGAACAGCUGAUUGGGUUGUAUUAACUUUCAAGUUUGGUAUAUAUUAAUUUAAUUAAAUGUACGGCUCCACUGCGCAUACUCAAAUGGAAAAAUAUAUAUAAUACUAACAGCUUUUA